UACGUAGGGUGCGAGCGUUAAUCGGAAUUACUGGGCGUAAAGGGUGCGCAGGCGGUUUUGUAAGCCAGAUGUGAAAUCCCCGGGCUCAACCUGGGAAUGGCAUUUGGGACUGCAAGGCUAGAGUGUGGCAGAGGAGACUGGAAUUCCCGGUGUAGCAGUGAAAUGCGUAGAUAUCGGGAAGAACACCCGUGGCGAAGGCGGCUCUCUGGAACGCAACUGACGCUGAGACGCGAAAGCGUGGGGAGCAAACAGG
rnacentral:rRNA from 1 species